GACAGAAGAGGCCUUCUCCCGCGAAUUUCUACCGCCAGAAGUUGUGCAAGAAACUCCAAUUUCGGAUGCAGAGUUCAUCGGAGGCCUUUGUCGGCGGCGACAAGUUUUCGCCGUUCAGGCGCUUCUUCUUGGAUCAUAGUUCUUAGUACAAGGUGGAUUAGUUUCUUUGAACUCACUGCAGUUCGAUUUUGGACCAGAAACCAUUCAGAGGAUAAGAUAUACUCCAUGGCCUGUAUUGUUGUGCUCCUUUGAGGGGAAGAAAAAGUCAUGACUACAUGGAGGUAAACAGUGGAGAAAGAUAAAGAAGUAUAUCAAUAAGGCACAGUUGGCGACCCUGCAACUGCAUCUGGGGUGACUAACAAGACCAAGCUCGUCCACUUGUCAAAAUAAAAAACAAAGGAUGGCAACAAACUCUUCGUAUGGAGGAGCCAAGAGAUGCAGUGAAAGAACCCUUUUCAAACUGUGUUUACAUCCCUUUUCACGCCUUUAUAAGUAGUUCUAUAUAUUCCACCAGAUGGUCUUUGGCUUUUUCUUGGAAGAAGGAAUAAGAGGCGAGCAACAUAACAUGAACAACUCUUCUAUCGACUAAAGAACUCUACACAAAUUAAACACCACACCUCUAAAGCUUCUCUCCCAGUCUCUGGCAAACAAACAUUGGAUAGUGUUAUGGGUGAAGUCAGCUGUAGUUGUCAUGGGCCCAUUGCCAUGUGGGGCCUUCUGGGAGUGACAACUGGACUGGCAAGCAGUGGAUUUCACUACAAGGCUUUUUGCGGAGUAGUUCCAAGCCCCAACAAGGAGGACAGCUUACCGAGCUCAGUAAGAACUGUGCCGAGGCAAGUGACCCUUCUCUCCUUACUUCCUGUCGAUUCCUUGUAUGGUACUGAAGAAUGUGCGAGUGAAGAAAGGUCUAAAUAGAAUGGAUUUAUCUCACUAAUGACAUACACAAACUAGCUUGCUUAACUUGACACUACUACAAUCUAUGUACAGACUUAAGCAUCAAAGCUUGAUGGGCAUAGAACCAGACUGGUGUGAGCUUCUCUUUUGCAGGUCGGUCAGCCCUUCGACUACGUGUACCUGUGAUCAAAUGUCACCUCAACAUAUAGAUUAAUUGGCAUUGUCUCUGGCUUGCAAACACUCAUCUUAAGAAGCUGAUAGACCAAAAAAGAUAUCCUUUCAGCAUAUUGGUUUUCCUGGGAGCAGUCCACACAUAAAACUGAAUUUUUGGAUCUUGAGCCUGUAGACUAAAUUAACCAAUCUGUGGCAGAAGAUUCAGCAGGCUGAUAUAUGUAAAAUUCUUGAAGGUUUCAGCUUCUAGUGUGAGUAAUAGUGAUCACAUUUCCAUUUUAAUUAGUGAAUGUCACCAUUAUCAGAAUAGUAGUUGGGUUCUUGAUGUCGCUUUGCUAAGGAGGGAUAAAAUAUUGUUCUCAAUCCAUCGUAGCUUUCUACUAAUGUGUAGACAUUUUUCUACAGAGGGCAAGGUAAAGCAGUUCCACAACCGGGAGAGACACAAGAAAGCUCAAAUUUCUUAGAAUUAAUCGAAGAAGACUGAAAAUGCUUACAAGUUUUAUACUUGUAGUGAAACUUCUGUAGUUAAUUGCUCAUGAUGACCAGUUGGUAUGAAAACGGAAAAGUUUUCUUUACCA